GAUGAAGAACGUAGCGAAAUGCGAUACGUAAUGUGAAUUGCAGAAUUCAGUGAAUCAUCGAAUCUUUGAACGCAUAUUGCGCUCUCUGGUAUUCCGGAGAGCAUGCUUGUUUGAGUAUCAGUAAACACCUCAACUUCCAUAUCUUUUUUGAAAUGGGAGUUGGACUUGAGUGAUCCCAACGCUUUUCCUCACCGAAAAGUGGCGGGUUACUUGAAAUGCAGGUGCAGCUGGACUUUUCUCUGAGCUAUAAGCAUAUCUAUUUAGUCUGCCUAAAAAACAGAUUAUUACCUUUGCUGCAGCUAACAUAAAGGAGAUUAGUUCUUGUGCUGACUGAUGCAGGAUUCACAAAGACAGGCUUCGGCCGACUUUGUAAACUCGAUCUCAAAUCAAGUAAGACUACCCGCUGAACUUAAGCAUAUCAAUAAGUGGAGGA
rnacentral:misc_RNA from 1 species